UCCACUGUAUACAGAAUCAGUAUUAUUUAUUCCAUUUCUUUAUUCUUUACCAUUAAUAUAAGGAAUUUUAUUUAGUCCUGACAAUUUAGUCAAUUCUGAUUCCAGACUGUAAAUUUCUCGUCAGCUUUUCUAUUGUAGAUUUGUAACUACAGGAAUAGUGCUGAGGAACCACGGGCGCAAUUUGCCCAUCUGCUCAGCAGCUCUCUCAACCCCACCCAGCAGCACUCAGCAAAUCAGUAAGAGAUGGAUUCAAGCAUCUCUGCAGUGUUUCUUCCUCAGAGAGAGAGAGAUGGAAAGCGAGCGAGUAGGAAGUGGGAAGUCACCUCCGUCACUGUAAGACACCCACCUAAUCAGCUCAGCGCCUGGGGAGAGAGAGAGGAAAAGAGUGAGAGAGAGAAGGAAAAAAGUACUAUCUAUUAACUGAACAUCUCGUCAUCUGCCUGACCAGCUAUUUCAGGUCUCUCCAUUAGUGAGACAUGACGAAUCCAUCUGACGUCCUAACUGUCAUAUCCCUGAGCCUUUAAAGAUCCCUAUAACAUGCUCAGCAAUCCAAAAAAUGGAGACAAUUGAUUUUCGCCUGCCAAGAAUGAUCGUAAUAAAGUUUUACAAGCAUGACGAAUCCCCAGGGUUAUGAUCUAUGCACAUUUUUCAAAGGAAAAAGAUUUCUCUCUCUCCAUUGAAUCAUCUUUAGACAAAUGGUGGCGACAGUAUAAUUGGACAUUAGUCUUAAUUCACAUGUUACAGGAGCUGAAUUGAAUGCUCGCUCCUCUUGGCUGGACACCGAGCUCUUUUCUCUGCAUGUUGCGUUUGGUUUUUCUAAUUGUGCCUGGUGAAAGGCAACCAUCCUAAACUGAAGAGCAUAAUUUAACUGGCCUUAAUAAAGGACUUCUAUUCAACAUCGGGCCCAUUAUUUUCCAGCUAGACUCCUGACCGGAGAUAAAUAGGAAUGGUACUCUCACCUUUUUUUUUUUUCUCUCACUUGCUCCCACUUCUCUGGAAUCUUAAGUAAAUGUAUAAGUGUGUG
rnacentral:lncRNA from 1 species